UUCGUUUGUUGAUUUUAUUUUUCGUUUCACUUUACCUUUUUACCAAUUACCAAUUUUAAUUCAUUUUAUUUUUUUAUUUACAUUUCGGUCCCCCAAAAGAGUCCCAAAAUUGCAUUUUUGUCCAAUACUUUUUUUAAUUGCAUUUUUUUUAGUCUUUUUUUUUUAUUGCAGAUUAGUCCUCAUAUUAACUUUUUUGCAGAUUAGUCCUUAAGUCCAAAACAGUCCAGGUGUCAAUUUUCCAUUGGGUCUCCAAUACACAUGGCAGGCUAUAAAUAGUAAAUGUGUCAGAUCCAUCACAAUCAGUCAGAAAAAAAUCAGAAUCAAUCACAAUCAGUCUCAAACAGAAUCUUUUUCUCUCUCUCAUCCAUAACAGAAUCAAAACAGAAAAAUCUCAAAAAAAAAGAGGAAGAACACCAAGAACACAU
rnacentral:lncRNA from 1 species